GAAAAUGGAGGGAGGUUGGUGGGGUGGGUGAUGUCAUCUCUGGUUUAGAGCCGCACAGCCUGGGAUCACAGCGUUGGUGUUGGCUUACUGCGCUGCAUGGAGGAUGAUAGAACGAGACGAAGAGAAAAGAAGGACAGCGAAGAAUACAACAGCUCAGGAAAGUUCAAUGCUCUGUGGACAGUUGGACUCCACAUGUUGUUGGUUCAUGAGAUCACUGUAUCAGAGAGGAAGAAGUUGAAGAAGCAUGUGACAGAUCUACUGUACCUCACAAUUGAGCUCACAAAACAAAAGUAAGAGCAGAAUUGGGAAAUGAAGAGAAGCUUUAAAAGGAGGAAAUCCAUCAUCUAAGAUGAAAACUGGUGUAUGACAGUUAUAGAUGCAUUAGACCAGUGUUUCCCAACUUAUUUUAUUCAGCAAGGGUGCAUUAAGUUUUAUAUUGUUACAAAAAGUUUCCACAAAAUUAUUAAAGUCAGCAUGAAACUGAAAUUGUGUUUUUCUCUCUCACGUGAGUGAAAGGUAGCUGGAAGGGAGGGGAAGAUAAUACUUUUGAUUAAAGAUUACAAAGGCACAUGUAUAAAAAAAAAUAAUGACAUGCAAUUUAUAAUAAAAAUUGCAAUAUUCCAUAAAAAUAAGAAUUAUCAGUUUUGAUUUCAUGGUGACUUUAAACAGCCUACACCUAUUGCUCAUUGCUACUUCAUGUUAGUUAAUGCAUUUGUUAAUUAAGGAGACCUUACUGUAAAGUGUUUCCAAACUUGUAAUAAUAUUUCACAAAAUGGCGCUUUAGGCUACUGUAUUUUUGAUCAAAUGCAGCCAAUUUAAAAUAAAUAAAUAAAAUAACACCGUGUCCUACCCAAAAGCGAUCUUUUUUCAGUCUAUGAACGCGACGCGAUAGAUUCUAGCGACAAGCAGUUUGUCUGUCCAUGACAGUCCACACCAGACUCAAAUCAAUCAAAUAUCUCAGCCAAUCAGAAGAGCGUGUGGGUGGGCUCUCUGUGAAAGCACACUGCUGUCCUGCACUCGCAUUGAAAAUGGGGAAAUUCAGAUCUACAGAGAGACAAGGAGUUGGGCAUCCAAUAAAUCAAAGAGCAGAGCAAGUGGCCUAACACAACUUGCAGGAACUUACCUCCACAUGCUCCACUGAUAUGGAGAGUUUGCUGUCCUAUUAG